CGUUUUUCUUUUUUUUUAUUUUAUUAUGAUGACAAGUUACCAAAAUCUUCCGUCACCACAACACUUUCUGUGUGGUAAAAAGUUAAUAUAAGAAAACGAAUAUUAUAUGAAAUAUGAUGAUAUAAUUCUAUAACAAAUCAAAUUGGCCUUGCUCAUUGUGUGGUCCACGACUUAAAUGAUAAACUACAUGUAACAAAUCGUUAGCAGCAAUUCUUCCUGCAAUUAUUGAUAAAAUAAAUUAGUACAACUACAAUAACAUAUUAAUACAAUAAUUAUAAAAAACUGAAAUGGUGAUGCUCACAUUAAAAAACGAUAUUUAAUGGGCAUCCUGAAAUGGACAAGGCCAAAAACAGCAACAUUUUAUUGUUAUUUGUUUUAGUUCUGCGGCGGAUGAAAAAUGGGCAAAUAUUCGGCGGCUCUUUUGAUACUUGUAACCAUCCUCAUACUUUUGGAAAUAUGUGACUGCCAAAAUGGAAAUCAAAACAGAAAAGGUAAAUCUAGAUACACAGCGGCACAAAUCCCAAUGCCAAGCCCACAACAAUUGGGUCAAGCGUUAAAUGCCGCUUUGGAAUUGGCUAACAAGCUUCAGCAGAUGCAUAACACAUUUAAACCUAAUCAAUAAUAUCGAACUAAUUUACUAAAUACUUUAAUAUUUAUUUAGUGUUUAUACAUGAAAUAUUUACUUCACAAUUUUACCAAGGUGCUUCGUACCCUAAAAGUAAAAUGCGACGACAAUAAAUAAUGAGAGUAAAUAUGAUGAAUUUAUAAUGCAACAAAAAAUAAUUGCACACAUGUGAAUAAAAUAAAAUAAAUAAAUAAAUAAAUACAGAGUAGAGUUUUUGUGAAA